UCCGUUGUGGUCUAGUGGUUAGAUUUAUGGCUCUCACCCAUAAGGCCGGGGUUCGAUUCCCCGCAACGGAA
rnacentral:tRNA from 1 species